AACGAACGCUGGCGGCAUGCCUAACACAUGCAAGUCGAACGAGACCUUCGGGUCUAGUGGCGCACGGGUGCGUAACGCGUGGGAACCUGCCCUUAGGUUCGGAAUAAUUCCCCGAAAGGGGUGCUAAUAACGGAUAAUGUCUUCGGACCAAAGAUUUAUCGCCUUUGGGUGGGCCCGCGUUGGAUUGGCUAGUUGGUAGGGUAAAAGCCUACCAAGGCGACGAUCCAUAGCUGGUCUGAGAGGAUGAUCAGCCACACUGGGACUGCGACACGGCCCAGACUCGUACGCAAGGGAGCAGAAGAUAAUAUUAGACAAUGGGCGAAAGCCUGGUCCAGCAAUGCCGCGUGAGUGAUGAAGGCCUUAGUAUUGUAAAGCUCUUUUACCCGAGAUGAUAAUGACAGUACCGGGAAAAUAAGCACCGGCUAACUCCGUG
rnacentral:rRNA from 1 species